rnacentral:rRNA from 1 species
UGCUAAUACCGCGUAAGCACACAGGCAUUGAAAAACUGUGUGGAAAGAAUGCCUCUACUUGUAAGCAUUCGCCGAAUGAUUGGCCUGCGUAACAUUAGCUUGAUGGUGGGGUAACGGCCUACCAUGGCUACGAUGUUUAACGGAUCUGAGAGGAUGAUCCGUCACACUGGAACUGAGACACGGUCCAGACUCCUACGGGAGGCAGCAGUGGGGAAUCUUGCGCAAUGGGCGAAAGCCUGACGCAGCAAUGCCGCGUGAGUGAGGAAGGUCUUCGGAUUGUAAAGCUCUGUCAGAGUGGAAAAAUGGUGAGAGGCCUAAUAGGCCUAGCAAUUGAUGGUACACUCAGAGGAAGCACCGGCUAACUUCGUGCCAGCAGCCGCGGUAAUACGAAGGGUGCAAGCGUUGUUCGGAUUUAUUGGGCGUAAAGCGCGCGCAGGCGGAUCUUUAAGUCAGAUGUGAAAUCUCGGG